rnacentral:tRNA from 1 species
CGGGAAGUGGCUCAGCUUGGUAGAGCACUAGACUGGGGGUCUAGGGGUCGCGGGUUCAAAUCCCGUCUUUCCGACCA